rnacentral:rRNA from 1 species
UGACCGCUGGCGGCGUGCCUCAUACAUGCAAGUCGAGCGAACAGACGCGGAGCUUGCUCCUCUGACGUUAGCGGCGGACGGGUGAGUAACACGUGGAUAACCUACCUAUAAGACUGGGAUAACUUCGGGAAACCGGAGCUAAUACCGGAUAAUAUAUUGAACCGCAUGGUUCAAUAGUGAAAGACGGUUUUGCUGUCACUUAUAGAUGGAUCCGCGCCGCAUUAGCUAGUUGGUAAGGUAACGGCUUACCAAGGCGACGAUGCGUAGCCGACCUGAGAGGGUGAUCGGCCACACUGGAACUGAGACACGGUCCAGACUCCUACGGGAGGCAGCAGUAGGGAAUCUUCCGCAAUGGGCGAAAGCCUGACGGAGCAACGCCGCGUGAGUGAUGAAGGUCUUCGGAUCGUAAAACUCUGUUAUUAGGGAAGAACAAAUGUGUAAGUAACUAUGCACGUCUUGACGGUACCUAAUCAGAAAGCCACGGCUAACUACGUG